rnacentral:rRNA from 1 species
GACGAACGCUGGCGGCGUGCUUAACACAUGCAAGUCGAACGAUGAAGCCGGAGCUUGCUCUGGUGAAUUAGUGGCGAACGGGUGAGUAACACGUGAGUAACCUGCCCUUGACUCUGGGAUAACUGCGGGAAACUGUAGCUAAUACCGGAUACGACCCUCGGAGGCAUCUCCUGGGGGUGGAAAGAAUUUCGGUCAAGGAUGGACUCGCGGCCUAUCAGCUAGUUGGUGAGGUAAAGGCUCACCAAGGCGACGACGGGUAGCCGGCCUGAGAGGGGGACCGGCCACACUGGGACUGAGCCACGGCCCAGACUCCUACGGGAGGCAGCAGUGGGGAAUAUUGCACAAUGGGCGCAAGCCUGAUGCAGCGACGCCGCGUGAGGGAUGACGGCCUUCGGGUUGUAAACCUCUUUCAGCACCGACGAAGCGCAAGUGACGGUAGGUGCAGAAGAAGGACCGGCCAACUACGUGCCAGCAGCCGCCGUAA